UACAGAGGUCUCAAGCGUUGUUCGGAUUCAUUGGGCGUAAAGGGUGUGUAGGUGGCGCCGUAAGUGGGGUGUGAAAUCUCGGGGCUUAACUCCGAAACUGCAUUCCAUACUGCGGUGCUUGAGGACUGGAGAGGAGACUGGAAUUCAUGGUGUAGCAGUGAAAUGCGUAGAGAUCAUGAGGAAGACCAGUGGCGAAGGCGGGUCUCUGGACAGUUCCUAACACUGAGACACGAAGGCCAGGGGAGCAAACAGG
rnacentral:rRNA from 1 species